rnacentral:miRNA from 1 species
CCAUUGCUACAUUGUGUGUGUGUGUGUGUGUGUGUGUGUGUGUGUUUGUGUGUUUGUAUACACACACACACACACACACACACACACACACGAGUUAACUAAUGG